rnacentral:rRNA from 1 species
AUUGAACGCUGGCGGCAGGCCUAACACAUGCAAGUCGAGCGGAUGAAGGGAGCUUGCUCCUGGAUUCAGCGGCGGACGGGUGAGUAAUGCCUAGGAAUCUGCCUGGUAGCGGGGGAUAACGUCCGGAAACGGGCGCUAAUACCGCAUACGUCCUGAGGGAGAAAGUGGGGGAUCUUCGGACCUCACGCUAUCAGAUGAGCCUAGGUCGGAUUAGCUAGUUGGUGGGGUAAAGGCCUACCAAGGCGACGAUCCGUAACUGGUCUGAGAGGAUGAUCAGUCGCACUGGAUCUGAAACGGGGUCCGGACUCCUACGGGAGGCAGCAGUGGGAAAGAUGGGACAAUGGGCGAAAGCCUAAUCCGUCCAAGCGGCGUGUGUGAAGAAGGUCUUCGAAUUGUAAAGCACUUUAAGUUGGGAGAAAGGGAAGUAAGUUAAUACCUUCCUGUUUUAACGUUACCAACAGAAUAAGCACCGGCUAACUUCGUG